AGCAGCCGCGGUAAUUCCAGCUCCAAUAGCGUAUAUUAAAGUUGUUGCAGUUAAAAAGCUCGUAGUUGAACUUCGAAAUUUGUUCAUUGGUCAGGCUUAACUGUCUGUACUGGUGUUACGAAUUUCUACCUUCUGAGGAAUCUUCAUGUCAUUAAUUUGGUGUGGGGGAGAAUCAGGACUGUUACUUUGAAAAAAUUAGAGUGUUUAAAGCAGGCUAACGUCUGAAUACAUUAGCAUGGAAUAAUAAAAUAGGACGGUUUGGUUCUAUUUUGUUGGUUUCUAGGAUCACCGUAAUGAUUAAUAGGGAUAGUUGGGGGCAUUAGUAUUCAAUUGUCAGAGGUGAAAUUCUUGGAUUUAUUGAAGACUAACUACUGCGAAAGCAUUUGCCAAGGAUGUUUUCAUUAAUCAAGAACGAAAGUUAGGGGAUCGAAGACGAUCAGAUACCGUCGUAGUCUUAACCAUAAACUAUGCCGACUAGGGAUCGGACGAAGUUAAUUUUUAAAUGACUCGUUCGGCACCUUACG
rnacentral:rRNA from 1 species